ACAAGCAUCAGAAUAGGAAUUGUUGAAAUGCAAAUUUCUGGGCUAUACCCCAUAGUCUGACUUAGUAAGUCUGGCCUGGGGCUUAGGAAUUUGCAUUUCUAACAAGUUCCCAAUUGAUGAAGAU
rnacentral:pre_miRNA from 1 species